rnacentral:rRNA from 1 species
UACGUAGGGUGCGAGCGUUGCCCGGAUUUAUUGGGCGUAAAGGGCGCGUAGGCGGUGCCGUACGUCCGUUGUGAAAUCGCUCGGCUCAACUGGGCGGGGUCAGCGGAUACGGUGGCACUUGAGCAAGCUAGGGGGCAAUGGAAUUCCCGGUGUAGUGGUGGAAUGCGUAGAUAUCUGGAGGAACACCGGUGGCGAAGGCGGCAUCCUGGACCGAUACUGACGCUGAGGAGCGAAAGCCAGGGGAGCAAACGGG